rnacentral:lncRNA from 1 species
GAGAUGUUGGGACAACCAGCUGCAGAAAGGAGCUAUCCCCUCUGAAGUCUCCUCUCUGCUGGGAGCUCAGCAGACAUCAGGAUGACCAGCUGCGGAGAGAAGCUACCCAUUCCAGGGUCUUGUAGCUCCUCUCUGCUGAGAGCUGAACAUUAAAGUUGAACAUUAAUGGGACACCCUGGCAGCAGAGAGGAGCUACCCACUGUGAGUCUCCUCUGAGCUGCUCUAUUGCUCAGUAAAGCUCUUCAGCUUGCUCACCCUCCACUUGUCUGUGUACCUCAUUCUUCCCGGGCAUGGGACAAGAACUCAGGACCUCCUGAAUGGCAGGGCUGAAAGCGCUGUAACACAAACACGGCUGAAACACACCUCUUGCUCACCACGUUGUGGGUAAGAAGAAGGGGAGAAGAGCUGAGGCCCUUCGGGGACCCCAGACCUAGGAGCUCCCUGAGCCAGGGCUGUGACACCCUCUUUGGGGGUCUGGUUCCUGACAUAUCCAAGCCCCCAGGAACCAUUGCAUUCCCCAGUGGCAGCAGUGGAAGCUGCUUGCAGGAUGCCUGUUCCAGCUGCAGCCUCGUAAGAAGCCAGCACUCAUGCUGGCACCUGGAGCUGCCCACUCCACCACAGCCAUUGUUCCUGGCUGUGCACAGUGGCUGGACCCCACGCUUGCUUGCUCACACAUAUCCUCGCUGCUCCGCUCGCCCUUGGCAGGCAGGGGAUCCAGGCCAUUAGCACGAGCUGAGCAUAGCCUGCCAGGCCAAGUGGGCGCAAUGAGCCUGAGCAAAACUCUGGCAAAGGCACCACUGGCUACAGAGGUUUCUGGCUGGUGAAGUGACAGCCCAAGGAUCCCAUAAUGACAUGUUGGAUGUGCCUGGCAUUGCACAGACACACAGUAGGUGUUGGGAAGCACUGGUUCUUUCUUUCAGAGGGUCUGUCAUCCUCGUUUCCCGCAUGGCCGAACUUACCAAGGUCUUUGCAGCUUCUGCUUCCUUCUGUAGUACUCAUGGGUCCCACAUCUGUGCUUACAAAGUCCCUAGUGUAGUGAUGGGGAGAUGUUUCUGGAAGCAGUAGUGGGAAAGGGUGAGUGAAGGCAGCUCCCCCUGCCUGGGUAGUCCUAGAAUAGGAAGGGGGUGAACAGUCAAUACAUGCAGUGGAGAGGACUCUGACCUGGGAGGAAGGAAGACAAGCUACUUGCCCCAACCGUGCCACCAGCACAAUCAGUAAACCUUGCUCUGUUCUAAGCCUCAGUUUCUCCACUUCUUCAAGGAAGGGUCUUCCAGCUGAGCGCUUCCCUGUUUCUGUCCCUAUCUCCUUCUCUCUCCCAGAAAGUUUCUUGCCUUCUCUUGACUUACAGAAGACAUCACUUCCUUGAAGACUUGGCUCACUAUAAGCCUCCUGGCGGCUCCUUCCUGGGGCACUGGGCCAAACUCCUGACACGAUUAAGAAGAGGUUUUGGAACUGGGCCAGACUAGGAAAACAGGAAAGAUGACGAACAAAGCUUCCCUCCUUCUGAGGGUUGUUUAUUCCAGUGUUCCUUCAGUUGAGUUUUCUGGGUACACAGCAGCCCUUGGCUUUCCAUCCCAUGUGCAGCCUCUGGCCCAGCACUUAGUCCACUCUCAGUCAUAGAGCUUAUCACACAGACUUGCUCCAGUGCCCACUUGUCCAACUGCCCCAAACUCCUGGAAACCAGAAAGAACACAGAUGUAUCUCAACUGAGUGCCUACCAUAUUUCUACAGGAGGAACUGUCUUCGCAUAAAAGCCCCUCUGCAGCUCCUUAAGCUGCUCCCCAUCGCUCGAAUUACCACCUGAGCUCUGCUUCCUGUCUGAUCAGCAGCAGCAUUUGAUUCUCAUAGGAGUGCGAACUCUUGUGAACUGCGCAUAUCCUACUGAUGCUUCAAUUGCCUCAUCUUUGGUCAACAAGAGCCUCUUCAAGACAUUGGCUUCUGAGCCCUUUUGACAUGACACUAUAGCUUUAUUGCUUUCUGGAAUGAAAAAGUCUUCUUGGUUCAUCUUGUAUAUUUUUUGCUCCAGACCUUGAAUCAGCUAUUUCUCCUAGGAGCCCUGGUUCUUUUGUGGGAAAUGGUAUUUUGAUAUUGCAACCUUUUCUCUAGGGGUGCUCAUAGUUAUUGCAGUGGUAAUUGUUUCUAGGCCUUUUUAGUGGGUAGAGCUAGAGAAAAAAAGUUUUAAGAGAUCUUGAGUUCAUACUGAUAUUUUAAAUUUCAAUUUAGGGUAUAGCAUUUUUAUUUCUUUUAUGUUUAUAUUUUUUCUUAUGCUGAAAAUGUUGGUUUUAGUGGCAAUAAUAUUAGAUUUAUUUGCUUUAUCUUAUAAUGUAUAAAAUAACAAUUUAUAUUAAUAAUAUGAUUAUGGAAAACAUUUUAAGAUUAAAAACUGGUCAGGUAUGGCAGGUCACGCCUGUAAUCCCAGCACUUUGGGAGGCCGAGGGGGGCGGAUCACCUGAGGUUGGGAGUUCGAGACCAGCCUGACAAACAUGGAAAAACCCCGUCUCUACUAAAAAUACAAAAAAAAUUAGCCAGGUAUGGUGGCACGUGCCCGUAAUCCCAGCUACUCGGGAGGCUGAGGCAGGAGAAUCACUUGAACCUGGGAGGCAGAGGCUGUGGUGAACUGAGAUCGCACCAUUGCACUCUAGCCUGGGCAACAAGAGCGAAACUCCAUCUAAAAAAAAAAAAAAAAUUAAAAACUUUAAUUUUUUUGGCAGUUCCUCUUGUCCUUUGGGUAUAUCCUGAUGGGAAUGUACAAAUUACUAUGUUUAAAGUCAUUUGAAAUAAUUCUUCUCUGAGCACUUAUACCAUCAAUUUAAUACAUAGUUUGAUACAUUCAUUUCAUUUUGCUUUCAUUUUAGGGGUUACUUUAUUUAAAAUUCCAUUUUGUUUUAAUGAUUAUGUGGAACAUUUACAUCGUUCCAUAGCCAAAUCUUCAAAAUAAGUAUAUUCAGGUAACUCUAGCUUCUAUACUUGUUCUUUGUACUCUGAUGUCUUCCUUUCUCAUCGAGAGUCAUUUUUUAAAAAGUUCUUUUCUUUUAUUUAAAAAAUAUAAGCAAAUAUAUAUAUUGAUUUCCCCUCUUUUGUACAUAAAUGCUAGCAGCCAUACACUUUUCUUCUUUUACUUAACUAUAUAUAUAUAAUAUAUGUAUAUACAUUUUAUAUUUUAUUUAUUAUUUAUUUAUUGAGACAGGGUCUUGCCCUGUUGCGCAGACGGGUGUGCAGUGUUGUGAACAUGGCUCACUGCAGCCUCAAUCCCCUGGGCUCAAGCAAUCUGGCCACCUCAACCGUUUGAACAGCUGGGGCCACAGGCGUGCACUACCACGCCUGGCUAAUUUUCCUUCAAUUUUUUUUUUUUUGCAGAGACAAGGUUUCACUAGGUUGGCCAGGUUGGUUUUGAACCCCUGGGUUCAAGUGAUCCUCCUGUCUCAGGCUUCUGAAGUGCUGGGAUUAUAGGCAUGAGCCACCAUGCCCAGCCUAGCAAUAUAUUCUGAAGAUCACUCUACUACAGUAUACAAAGAUAGCUCUCAUUCCAUUUUAUGGCUUCAUAGUAUUCCACUGUGUAAAUAUAUCAUAAUUUAUUCACAUAAUCCCCUGUUGAUGGAUGUUUGGGUAGUUUCUAGCCCCUUGUUAUUACAAUGAGUGCUGUAACAAAGAGGCUUGUGUCAGACAUUUGCCAGAGUAUUUUUGGGAUUGACUCAUGGAAGUUGUAUUGCUAAGUAAAUGCAUCUGUAAUACUGGCUUUUGAGAUCCUAGCCCAAGAAUGCUUUCUUUUUUAUUAGUUAUUUUUUAAAUAGCAAAAUCUAUCAAAACUCUUUUCACUGUAAAUUGACAAUUUAUAGCUGUAUAAAUUUGUGAGGUACAAAGUGAUGUUAUAAUGUAUGAAUACAAUGUGGAAGAAUUAAGUCAAGCUAGUUAACACAUCCACAGCCUCAAUAAGAAUACUAUCUGUGUGAGCUUUUUUCACACUACCUCUCUGUGCCUCAGUUUCUGAUCUGCAAAAUGGGGAUAAUAACAGUAUUUACCUCAGGGAGUUGUUGGGAAGACUAUAUGGGCUAGUUGUUUUAAAGUGUUUAGAAUAGACUGGGCAUGGUGGCUCAUGCCUGUAAUCCCAGCACUUUGGGAGGCCAAGGUGGGCGGAUCACUUGAUGUCAGGAGUUCGAGACCAGCCUGGCCAACAUAGUGAGACCCCUGUCUCUAUUAAAAAUGUAAAAAUUAGGGCCAGGCAUGGUGGCGCAUGCCUGUAAUCCCAGCACUUUGGGAGGCUGAGGUAGGCAGAUUGUCUGAGCUUGGGAGUUCAAGACCACCUUGGGCAACAGGGUGAAACCUUGUCUCUGCUAAAAAAAAUACAAAAAAUUAGCUGGACAUGGUGGCGGGCACCUGUAGUCCUAGCUACUUGGGAGGCUGAGGCAGGAGAAUUGCUUGAACCCAGAAGGCGGAGGUUGCAGUGAGCCAAGAUCACACCACCGCACUCCAGCCUGGGCGACAGAGGGAGACCCUGUCUCCAAAAAAAAAAGAAAAAAAAAAGAAAAGAAAAAUUAGCCAGGCAUAGUGGUGGGUGCCUAUAAUCCCAGCUACUUGGAAGGCUGAGGCAGGAGAAUCACUUGAAGCCAGGAGGUGGAGGUUGCAGUGAGCUGAGAUGGUGCCACUGCUCUCCAGCCUGUGCAACAGAGUGAGACUCCAUCUCAGUAAAUAAAUAAAUAAAUAAAUAAAUAAAUAAAUAAAUAAAGUGCUUAGAAUUUUCCUGGUACAUGGAAAAUGUUCAAUAAAUGUUAGCUGCUUUUAUUUUUAUUAGCAAAGGGAUAGAAAGUAUGGGAAUAUGUGGACAGGUGGAACAGUAGAGUUAGAUGCUGCUAUAAGUUUUUAAGAAGGGAUUCUGGAGCUCUUCCUACUGCCCCUGCAGGAAAGGGAAGAAUCGAAGAACCCAGAAAUGAAGUUUGAAGAUUAAAUGAAUAGGACAAGGACUGAUAGUUUAAUCCUAGCAUAGACAGUGGGCCCUAAGGCUCCAAAUGCCCCUCUUCCCAAUGCUUGAGUGCUGGCUACACACUCUGACCUGUCUAGAGACUUAGAUGCACUCUGGAGGAAGAGAGGGAGGAAGCAGUCACUUGACCACAUUUAACCUGAACUUAUUUACAGUAAAUCUCUGCCAUUAGGUUGGAUGGGCACUUGGGAUAGAAAUGAAAUUCAGUUAUACAAAAAUAAGUUACUUUAUAUAUUCAUUUUACAUGAGCUUAUGGCCUAUGAAAUUCAACUCGUUACAAUAUAAUUAUUGACUGAUAGCCUGAGGCACAAGAGGAGGGUGUGAAAGAAUGGAAGGAGUGGGAGGGAAUAAAAGAAAUAUUGGAAGGCAGCUCUUUGUUCACCUUACACAUGGGGCUAGAGCUCUGAUGUCCAAUAUGGUAGCCACUAGCUACAUGAGUCCGAUGACUACCAAAUUGGAAAACCUAGCUAUAGAAAUUUUCAGCAUUGCACUGUUCUAUUGGACAGUGCUGGGAAUGUUGAUUGGCCGUGCAUAGUGGGUGGCAGAGUGUAAACCCUGGUGCUGGAGGUCCAUCCUGAUAUCCUCAUUUUUGGUUCCCAAUAAAUGGGCUCAAACUGGUCCUCUGAAGGUCCUGGACAGCUGCUCACAUCCACACGGCCAUCCAAGUCUGUGUCUCAGGCUUCUGCUCCUUCCUCCUUCCUCUAGGGAGUAGCUGCCUGCAGCUCUAGCUCUUUAUCCCCUUUCUUACAACCUGCUCCUCCAAAGUCAUGCCCAGACUCAUGUCCUGGGUCUCCUUCCCAGGCUCUCAGGAGGCUUCAGUCAAGCUGGUCUAUUCGUUCUCUGUCAUCUGCCUAGACUGAAUUAAGGUAGCUGGCAGGCUCCCUGUAGUUGGAGGCAGACAGGGCACCCCCAGUUAGUUCCUCCUUACUCUCUGCUGGCUCAUAUUUCCUGUUUUUAAUAGCUAGGUCCCUGGGCCUAUCAAGGGGUGAUACAAGGCCUGUCUCUUCCCUCCCCCACCAUGCUUACUUUGAAAAGGGGGAAGUGGAACUGCUCAGUGUUCAUGAGCUGGGCUAAUAGCACCUUCUGUCAUGCAGCCCUCCCAGCCCUGAAACCUCCAGCUCUCAGUCCUACUCAGGUUCCCACACCCACCCCACAAAAAGCCUUGUCUGAGGCUUCCUCCAGAAUUGCAAGGUCUGGGGAGCUGGGUGCCACAGACCCAGAGGAAGUUUCCCUGCUCUGUUCUGUUUGUUUCUGUAGAGAUGAUGUGAACACCUCACUGCUAUCCAAGUUUCAUUCAAUGAAUAUUUGUUGGUCAUCUGGGCCUGACCCUGAGAUCACCAGGGUCUACAAGGCAGAUGAAAGCCCUGCUCCUUAGACAUCUGCCCUAGUCGGGGAGACAGACAACAAAGAAGAAAAAUGGGAUCCUGGUUGAGGAGUUGGUGGGGGGCAGAUUCUAAUAUUGGAGGUUCUUUUGGGUUGGAGGGAGCUGGGCGUGCUAGGCAGGGACAAGAUGGAAAGGAGAAAGGAGGUGUAUGCCUGACUGUGAGCUCCAUUAAGCCAGGGACUGUGCCCUAUUUGCCUUCCAUUGAUUCCUCAGUGAUUCCUUCCAUUGAUUCCAUUGAUUCCUCCUCAGAGCGGGAGCUCAUGAAGCACUGAAUGAAUGACCGACCAGUGCUGCUGAGAUAGGCGCAAAGCUGGGGGCUUCUGAGCUGGACUUGCCUCUGUGGUCCCCAUGGCUGCCCUUGUUGCAUGGGGCCUGGACCCCAGCCCCAGCCCAGCCAGCUUUGCUGCCACUUGGAUUCAUUCUCUGCAGUUUCCAAGUCUUUCCCUGAGCUAUGGCCUCCAACCUAUCCCAGCUCAGGGCCGGUACGUGUCUAGGCAGCUCUAUCCAGCUCUUUCCUCACUUGGCAAUUUGUGAAGUGGAGACAUCAAGUGGUCAGAUCCUGGAACGGCAGCAGUCGAGCUGUGGACACAGAGCAAAGGCUCCCGAGCCCUCCUGCCAGGCAGAGCCCUGAUGCAGCGAUGAUUAGUACUGGAUCCACACAGAACCUUAUCCUGGCUGAGCCCAGAUUCCAGCCAUAGAACGAACUCUAAUCCUGGUCACAGACUGAGACCUCCAACUCCUAAUUAGGGGUCUAAGAGGGGUACUCCUAAACAAUUCCCCUAAUUUUACAUUUGUACUGUAAUGAACUGAUACAACUUUAAAAACUUUUUUUUGGAAGGUUCACAUAUAUUCAGAAUUUUCCAUUCUAAACAUAUCCAUGCAACCAAUGCUCAUUGCUGGCAAUCCCAGACACCUUCAUCUUCAUACUUCCUUCUACUCGCUACCUCCCCAAGGGUAACAACUUCUAUAUAUUUGAAAUCAUACUGUAUAUUCUUUUCUUUUUUUUGAGACAGGGUCUCAUUCUGUCACCUAGGCUGGAGUGCAGUGGUAUGAUCUUGGCUCACUGCAACCUCUGCCUCCCAGGUUCAAGUGAUUCUCGUGCCUGAGUAGCUGGGACUACAUGUGUGCGCCACCACGCCCAGCUAAUUUUUUGUAUUUUUAGUGGAGACAGGGUUUCCAUCAUGUUGGCCACGCUGUGUAUAUUCUUUUCGGUGUCUGGCUUCUUCUGCCCAAUGUCAUGUUGGUGAAAUUCAUCCACAUUGAUAUGCGUCCUUGUUGAUUGGUUAUACUUGGUGUGCACAGUCAGCCCCCCGUAUCCAUGGAUUCUGCAUCCAUGGAUUCAACCAGCCACAGAUUAAAAACAUUUUUAAAAAAGUUGCAUCUAUACUGAACAUGUAGACUUUUUUCUUGUCAUUCUUUUUUUUUUUUUUGAGACGGAGUCUUACUCUUUCACCCAGGCUAGAGUGCAGUAGUGCAAUCUUGGGUCACUGCAACAUCCACCUCCCAGGUUUGGGUGAUUCUUCUGCCUCAGCCUCCCAGUGAGCUGGGAUUACAGGCAUCUGCCACCAUGCCUGGCUAAUUUUUGUAUUUUUAGUAUAGACAGGGUUUCACCAUGUUGGCCAGGCUGGUCUUGAACUCCUGACCUCAGGUGACCUGCCUGCCUUGGCCUCCCAAAGUUGCUGGGAUUACAGGCAUAAUCCACCACCCCCAGCCCUUGUCAUUCUUUUCUUUUCUUUCUUUCUUUCUUCUUUUUUUUUUUUUUUUUUUGAGACAGAGUCCUGUUCUGUCACCCAGGCUGGAGUGCAGUGGUGCAUCUCGGCUCACUGCAAGCUCUGCCUCCCGGGUUCGCCAUUCUCCUGCCUCAGCCUCCCGAGUAGCUGGGAUUACAGGAGCCCGCCACCACGCCCAGCUAAUUUUUUCUAUUUUUAGUAGAGACAGGGUUUCACUGUGUUAGCCAGGAUGGUCUCGAUCUCCUGACCUCGUGAUCCGUCCGCCUCGGCCUCCGAAAGUGCUGGCAUGAGCCACUGCACCCGGCAUGAGCCACUGCACCCGGCCCAUUAUUUUCUUAAAACACAGUAUAACAACUAUUUACAUAGCAUUUACAUUGUAUUAGGUAUUAUAAGCAAUCUAGAGAUGAUUUAAAGUUUAUGGGAGGAUGUGCAUAGGUUAUAUUCAAAUACAACACCAUUUUAUGUAAAAAACUUGAGAAUUCCUGAAUUUUUGUAUCUGUGGGAGUCCCGGAAUCAAUCCCCCAUGGAUAUUGAGGGAUAGCUGUAUUUUACUGUGUGAAUUUAUACUGCAACUUAGUUAUCUAUUCUAUUGUCAAUGAGCAUUUGGGUACUUCCAUUUGAAGGUUAUUGUAAGUAGUGCUGCCAUGGAUUUUGUAGCAUAUGUCAUUUGGUGAACAGAGCUUAGGCAUCUCUGUACCUAGAAGUGGAAUUGCUGGGUUAUGGGUUUUGUAUUGAUUUAGCUUCAUUAGUUGCUAAUAAAUAGUUUUCCGAAGUAGUUAUACCGAUUUACAUGCCCCACUCAGGGUAUGCCAAUUCCAGUUGUUCCAUACCAUUACAGUAUUCAUUCUAGACUUUUUGUCUUUUCUACUGUAGACUUUCUGGAUGAUGUGUACUGAUGAUAUCACUCUUGGAUGGGCCUGCAAUGCAGAUGAGCUUAUGUGCAGAUGUAUUGAUUUUAUUAUUAAUAAAUGGAAGGGAUUUUAAUGGAACUGGCCCUGCUAUCUUAUAAUUGACACUGAAAAGGGAUCCAGCUCAACAUUU